GUUUGUUUUUUUUACACAUUAUGAGAAGCUUUUUGACUACUAAAAUGAAGCUAAAAACUAACUAAAAUUGUUAACAGAUCGAUAAAGACUUUAUAACGUUCUAUGCAACCAGCACUUCAAUACCUUCCUUGUGGCAAAAUCAUUGGAAUACAUCAAAAAACUUCAUGAAGGAAAACAUUAAGGACUAAAAGAUUACAGAAACAUUGAACGACUUGGGAGAUACUAAUUUUGGAGAAGGUGAUUUCGUGCUAAAGAUAAUUAAAAGUAUUCACUUCUAAUUAUUUUCAAUAGCAGCAGUUUCAAAAAACCUGACACCGGAGCCAAGUCAAGAAGCAAGUUCACCAUCAAAGAGUGACUGAUGGCAUUCAUCUUUGAAGCAGAGACGAUGCAAAGUAUUAGAGGACAACAUAGCAUUCCGGAAAUCCAGAGGUGAAACUAUUCAACCUCUAAUACUUACAUUUUACAUUAAGGGAACAAAUUAAUACUUAAUUUCGUUAUAUGGUCCCAAAUCAAGACAACCAAUGUCAUAAAAGCUGUGGACGUCUGUUUCAAAUACUUUUUUUGUUCAACUUAAACUUUAUAGAAACAUGAAUCCAGAACUGUCAACAAUGCAACCUACGUUAAGUAUAUAAUUUUAUUUAAUUAUAAACAGAAGUAAGUAACUCUGUUGUUUUUAUUUGUGGUGUAUUAUUUCUUGGGUUUACUUUUUUUGAAAUUUUUUUUAUUUCUUAACUACAUUCAAAAUAAAAUGAUUUGAACACAAUAUGUAAAGUAAGCACAUUAAGUUAGAAAAACAAGUAAACAAGAAUCAUAAUUGCAACACAAGAAAUUACACACACAAAAUAAA